rnacentral:rRNA from 1 species
ACAAGAGUGACAGGUGGUGCAUGGUUGUCGUCAGCUCGUGUCGUGAGAUGUUGGGUUAAGUCCCGCAACGAGCGCAACCCUUAUCUUCAGUAGCCAGCAAUUCGGUUGGGCACUCUGGAGAGACUGCCAGGGAUAACCUGGAGGAAGGUGGGGAUGACGUCAAAUCAUCAUGCCCCUUAUGAUUUGGGCUACACACGUGCUACAAUGGCGUAAACAAAGGGAAGCAGCCCUGUGAAGGUGAGCAAAUCCCAAAAAUAACGUCUCAGUUCGGAUUGUAGUCUGCAACUCGACUACAUGAAGCUGGAAUCGCUAGUAAUCGCGAAUCAGAAUGUCGCGGUGAAUACGUUCCCGGGUCUUGUACACACCGCCCGUCACACCAUGGGAGUCGGAAAUGCCCGAAGUCAGUGACCCAACCGUAAGGAGGGAGCUGCCGAAGGUGGAGCCGGUAACUGGGGUGAAGUCGUAACAAGGUAGCCGUAUCGGAAGGUGCGGUUGGAUCACCUC